rnacentral:lncRNA from 1 species
AGCAAUGGAACUUCCUCCCAGUGAGAUUUCCAGGAUAAUAGGCGUAGAAAGUUUUCUGGGCUCGAUAAUCCCCUUAGAUCUCUCUUUACUCAAUCUCAUCCCAUUAAUUCAAGUCUCGGUCACUGAGACACCUCUAAGCAAAUUCCCUGGUGUCUGACCCUUUGACUGGGUUGGGGAUUUGUGUCACUCCAGUUGCUCCUGCUGACUUCGGUUCUUUCCUCCCCCUGCCUGCGUGUACUGGGUAGGAGCAGCUGCUCCUGUCCAUUGCCCUGUCUUUCUGACUCACCAGGCAGAUCCCUUUCCCAUCUGACAGACCACUCUGGCCACAGCUAUUCUCACAUAUUUUUUCUUUCUCUCUUCCAAUUCCUGGCCUUCAGUUACCUGUGUGUCUGGCCUUUUGGGCGAUGAGGGUUGGAGUCCUAUGGGGAAGAUAAGGAUUGUACACGGAAGCAGAGCAGCUUGAAGCAGCAGGGAUACCGAGUCCGUAAGGAUAUCCUGGGCAUAAUUCCCAACUCCAGUGACAGUGCCAUCGGGACUGGCGCUGCUCAGAAGCAAGGUCAGGGCAUCCUCUUACCUGUGGCCACCAACACCCCCAGCAUCAUCCUGUUCAUCUCUACGGUCACAAAUAAUAAGAUCCUGGAAUGCAGUGAGACCCCAGCAUCGAAGCAAUGCUGCCACAUCCCACCUUCACUGCGAGGAAUGGGUGAGAAGUACAGAUGACAGCACCUUAUCCAAACAACUAUUCUAUGGUGAGCUGAAAUGGGGAAAUCAUGAUGGGUUGGCCCGAAGAACUGCAGUUAAGAUGCAGUUAAACCUCAAAAGAUGUGGUAGAGUGGUGAAAAGCUGGGAGACAGUGGUGAACAGCACUGGGUGGUG